rnacentral:rRNA from 1 species
GACGAACGCUGGCGGCGUGCUUAACACAUGCAAGUCGAACGGAAAGGCCCUGCGUUUGUGGGGUGCUCGAGUGGCGAAAGGGUGAGUAACACGUGAGUAACCUGCCCUUGACUUUGGGAUAACUUCAGGAAACUGGGGCUAAUACCGGAUAGGAGCUCCUGCUGCAUGGUGGGGGUUGGAAAGUUUCGGCGGUUGGGGAUGGACUCGCGGCUUAUCAGCUUGUUGGUGGGGUAGUGGCUUACCAAGGCUUUGACGGGUAGCCGGCCUGAGAGGGUGACCGGCCACAUUGGGACUGAGAUACGGCCCAGACUCCUACGGGAGGCAGCAGUGGGGAAUAUUGCACAAUGGGCGGAAGCCUGAUGCAGCAACGCCGCGUGCGGGAUGACGGCCUUCGGGUUGUAAACCGCUUUCGCCUGUGACGAAGCGUGAGUGACGGUAAUGGGUAAAGAAGCACCGGCUAACUACGUG